rnacentral:rRNA from 1 species
GACGAACGCUGGCGGCGUGCUUAACACAUGCAAGUCGAACGGAAAGGCCCUGCUUUUGUGGGGUGCUCGAGUGGCGAACGGGUGAGUAACACGUGAGUAACCUGCCCUUGACUUUGGGAUAACUUCAGGAAACUGGGGCUAAUACCGGAUAGGAGCUCCUGCUGCAUGGUGGGGGUUGGAAAGUUUCGGCGGUUGGGGAUGGACUCGCGGCUUAUCAGCUUGUUGGUGGGGUAGUGGCUUACCAAGGCUUGGACGGGUAGCCGGCCUGAGAGGGUGACCGGCCACAUUGGGACUGAGAUACGGCCCAGACUCCUACGGGAGGCAGCAGUGGGGAAUAUGGCACAAUGGGCGGAAGCCUGAUGCAGCAACGCCGCGUGCGGGAUGACGGCCUUCGGGUGGUAAACCGCUUUCGCCUGUGACGAAGCGUGAGGGACGGUAAUGGGUAAAGAAGCACCGGCGAACUACGU